ACGACCACACCUAGGCGAAAACACCAGUUCCCGUCCGAUCACUGCAGUUAAGCGUCUGAGGGUCUUGUUAGUUUUAGUAGUAUGGUUGGAGACAACACGGGAAGCCUGGAUGCUGUAGGCU
rnacentral:rRNA from 1 species